AGACCAGCGCCCGCGGUGGCGCUCACCUCCCUCCCCUCCGUCACCGCGUCCUCCACAUCCUCUCCUCGCCAUCCAGCUCCACGCUACCGCCCCCGAGGGCUCGCUGCCGCCGCCGCCGUAGCAAGCCGAGCCGACGACAGCACUGUAGCUGUCUUCGAGGGCUGCGGUCUCCGGUACCGACGCGGAUGAUCUGCUCGGCACUGCAGCACGCCUCCCCCACCUCUACUCAUCCACUUCCUAGUGUAUGGCGAAGGUGAAGGCGGCGGCCGCCGUGGCGUUGCUGGCGAAGGCAGGCGCGGGUUCCUAGGGCCCGCGGCGGCGGGCUUCAUGGCGGGGGAGCGCCUGCGCGGGCGGCGACAUCGCUGACGCUGCUAUCAAGGCCGCCAUACGGAUGCUGUGAAGGCGGCAGCAGGUUGGCAGUUUGCGGAGCCUGCACCCAGGUCGAUGCGGCGGCGCAGACGACCCGAUGCAGUCAGAUCCACUGUCGUUCCCCGCCGUCCGGGCCGUGGGUGAGCCUCGCCGCCCCACCACCUUCCUCGCACGCUCUCCCGCCCUGCCUGCCACUUGCCUCCCUCGCCGCCGCCGGCCCGACGCGACCGAGCUGUGGACGCACGUCGUGGUUGUCGUCGACCUGCUGUUCCCCACCGUCCGAGCCAUGGGUCAGGCUCGCCGCACCACCGCCUUCCUCGCGCACGCGGGCCCUACCCCCGCUUGCCUCCCUCGCUGCCGCCGGCCCGACGCAGCUGAGCCGUGGCCGCGCGUUGUGGUUGCCGUCGUCCUCGAUGGAGCAGCAGCAGUAGCCGGGCCUCCGCCCCUCGCGCUCGCUGGACCUUGCCCCCGGUGCGGACCUCCGCAUCAGCGGGAGGACGGAAGGGGAGGUCGACGAUCUCUAUCGCAGCCGGCCCGAGGAGUUCGCCAUCCCCGUCACCGCCUGGGAGGCGGUGCAAGUCGCGCUCUAACUCGGACCUCCUCCCCCGGAUGAUGAUACGUCCAAUGCAACCACAGAGGCCAUGUUCAUCAUCUACAGAUUAUGUUCUUCUCUUUCUCCCUCCAGUGAACAACGCAAAGCUCUGGAUCAAAGAGACCCCCUGCUACCUCAACCCCAUUCAUGACGACCUCUUCCAGGUCAAUUACAAAUCUUAGAUCUGCUAAUUUCAAGCAGAAAUCUAGAUUGGCUAAUUUCUCUUCGCUAUGAUCAUACAUAGAAGCGUUUACCUCUAAGAUUAUUGAGCUUUGCACCAUACUAAUCUAUCAAUUGAUCAGUAUUGCAGUAUCACCCUUGGCUAUCAUUUCUGCUGCUAUAGGCCAGCAAGGACAAGCAGGGAGCAAGCAUUGAUACAGAUUCUUAGGUUCUAAGUUUGGAGCAAACUGUUUAUCCAUGUGGUUUUAUGCUAUAUCCUUUGAUCAAAAUUAACUUCACAGCAACAAGAAAAAGCCAUGGAAAAAAUGAUUCCAGCUAAAAGCUCUGCAUUUUGAUCAGGAACAACGCAAGCAUCCCAGGGGCUUCACAGUCAGAAUAAUCUGCGCCAAAAACAUGCUAAGCGAUAGCACCUCUGUACUGACAUAUAACCAUGCAUUCUACAUGGGCUAUAGUUGUGCUGCACCAUAUAGCUAUUAGCAUUUCCAACUGUGAUAUUUAUGUUAAGUUUAUACAUGUUAAGAUUAGCCUACAUUAGAAAAAGGAAGCCUAGGAAAACAAGACCAUAGCAAAACCAUGCCAAUGCUUAGAGCACUAAGCUAAAUUGGAAAAAGAUUGCCAUCAUCUGCUCCUACCUUUGAUACCUUGCAAUUGACAUCAAGUUGUCACUAAUUCGAAUUAAAUUGCAAUGAUUGCAGGAGUAGGACAACCAUUCCAAAGACUUUACAUUCAGCACUGCCUGUGCCGGAAGAUAUAAUAGGCAGUACUAAGAUAUAGCUAGUUGUGUAUUGCACGUAGAAAAAUAACUGUACUAUUACAUAUGCCUACUAAUAUAUAGACAUAUCACGCUAAUGCUACAUUUAUAUAUAUUAAUGUCGUCCUACCUUAAUCUAAUGAUUGCUAGGUGCGCCAAGGCACGCGCAAAGUACUUGUCUAGCAGUGGGAUUCGACGCGAUCGCUGCGGAAAGCUCUCCCAUCAGCCAUCAGCAGACGGAGAGGGGAGGAAAGGAUCCCAACAAGUUCCCAACCCAAAGAGGAGCAGGGAUGAAAGCGGGAACGGAAGAAUUCCGUACCGACUGACACAGUAUACUGACCGUAUUUCGUUUUUGCAAAAAAAAAUAGGAACAGGAAACAGGAAAAAAAAACAGGAACGGGAACAGGAAUGAAAUCAGGAAGAGGGAAUUUCCGACUGUAUUCGCUGAUCCUGUAUAUACACAGGAAAAUUCCCACGGUAUUUUCUAAAUUUGUACAUACCAAAUUUAGUAUUCAGCCCACAGCCCAUUGCCCGAUCGGCCACCCUCCCACCCCGCGCGUCCAGCGGCCCACGGUGCAUGCAUUGCCGCCUGCUGGAUGGUGCAGGCCUACGAUACUGGGCCUGCUGGCGUGCAGUAAGGUGCUGGUGCUGGGCUGCUGGCGUGCUGCUGUGCGCCUGUGCCUGUGCAGCGCGUUGUGUGUGUGCGCCCUGUGCAGCCCGAAGGCGUGCCGCGUGCGCUGUACCUGUGUGCCUAUGUUUAGUUGUAGUUGUUUCGUCUA